UUAGCUGUUAUUUUUCCUUCUUGGUCUGAACAAUGGCGGCAUCAUUAUUGAGAGGAGGAUUCAGAGUUGCGAUGUUUGAAGAAGAUGGAUCUAGCGACUCUGAGCAGUAUUAAGAGCUUCACAGAGUUGGGAGAUGAUGAUGAUGAUCGAGAAGAAGAGAGGAGUGACGAUGGAUGGAAGCUAGGGUUUUAUAAAGGUGAAGAUUUAAAGAAUUGUUGAGGAAUUCAUGGUGGUUCGGAUGGGUUUUGAGGCCAGUGAUGGAAGAAAGCGAUGAAGAUAAAUCAGGGAGGAAACGAGAUUGGAGAAAUGAGUUUUUGCUACUGUUGCUGGAGCUGAGAUAUUGAUUGAGGUGAGACUGAGAUUUACAGGAGAGGAGGAACAAUCGUGUUUCUGUGAAAGAUGGCUUUUGUUUCAGUAAAUUGAAGAUGGGUUUGAAUUGAUUUUCUGGGUUCAUGAGAAAUGAAGAAACUGGUUGAUGUAAGGGUUUUGAUGGACUUCAGAGAUGGAGAUAAAUUGGGGUUCCUGAAUUUGUGUUCGAAUCUGAAAUAGAGACGAUUGUGAAGAACACAGGGAGAAAUUGAUUUGAGCAGUGAAAGAAUGAGACUGAGGGUUUGCUGUUAUAGUCUCAAGAAGAAUUAUGCUACUGGUGAUGGUUCAUCUAGAACAGUUAGUUGCCAUGGACUAAAUGGUUUUUGGUUAAAUCUGUGAUGGCAAAGAUGACAAGAAAUUGAAGGGGUUUCUGCUUAUUUGUGAGAUUGUGAAGCAGAUAAAGGAAUUGGAGUUGUCUGGUACAAGGAAGUGAUGGAAUGUCUCUGUUGGUGGAUCUGAAAUGAAGCUGUGGUUGGGUUUGUGCCGGAAAUUGCAGAUGAGAAUGAAGGGGAUGAACUCGUAUUGGUUCAUGACUGAGAUGGAGUCGCAAUUGUAGAAGGGGUGCAGCUACAGCUUUUGCAGGUGCUAGUGAAUGGCAGAGUUUUGCAGGCCAAGGUGUUCUUAAGCUGGGAGUUGCAGAAGUCACUGGUGAUGUUGUAUGCGAAGCUUGCAAGGGUUUUCGUGUUGCUACUGAGGCAUUGCAGUGGGCUGUGGCAUUAUGUAGUGGAGGAGUUGUUACUACAAAUGUUGGUGAUUCUGGAAUGGAAGUUAGGGAAGAGUUGGUCUUAGAGGAGAUUGCAGUGCUGUGUAUGAAAUCUUGUAGAGCUGAGAUGAUGUUCCAGAGAUGGAAGUGAUGCUAGCAAGAGAAGACGGUGCUUGCAGGCACUGAUGUUUAUGGAAUGGCUUGAGCCUGGUGGUUUGCUGUUGAACAGUAUCAAAAAUUUAGAUGAAUGCUAGGUAAACAUGGAAGCUUAUUGCUGCAGUAAUGAGAGUUCUUGAACUGAAGAUUGCAGGACUUGGAGAUGGUUGUAGGAUGAAUCUAGAGCAGUCUGAUGCUGCCAAUUGGGGUAACAGCUGAGUUGAAGGUUAAAGCUGAGUUGGAGUUAGAACUGGUGGUAUUCGAAGUUACAUCUAGUAGAGGUGGAUUUGUGUAUGGCUGAGUAAUGUAAAUGAUGAAGGUUCACUGUGUUGCCAUUGAUGAGAUUGAAGUGAUUCUGGUGGUGGAUUUGUGCAUUAGAUGGAGUCUUAGCUGAGUGGUGCUGCUUAUGUGAAGUUAUACAGGGAUUGGCAAUGGAGUUGUAGCUUCAAGACAAUGGUUGCUGGCUAUAGCAGCUCAGGCGCAAUGAAGGGCCAAAAUGGUGCAACAGAGCUUAGGCCAGUGCAAUGGCCUUGGCCAAUACCAACUCAGCCCACUCAGAUGAGUUAGCUGAUCUGACUCAUUGACUCGGUAUGACUCACCGAGCCUUGACCGAGUUGACUAAUUAUGACCGGUGACCGGGUGGACUUUUCCGGUCACCUGAGAUGCCUUUCCCGUCCAAGUUCAGGCCGGUAACACCAGUUUUCCGGCCACCUCUUUUGGGAUAUAUUUUCUACAUGGAUAUUAUCAUAUAUGGACUUCGUGGACCACAUUGGAUAUAGGCUUUUGGAGGAUUCACCUAAUUUUGGAAAGACGAGAAGCUGCAAAAAAAAAAAAAAAAAAAAGAAAAAAGAAAGGAAAGUUUUCUAGAACUUUGGAUGUAACACUCCUAAAAUUUUCAUCGUGGUUUGAGCCCGAGGCCGACCUAUUCAGAUAAGUUAGAAACCCUAUAACGUGGGCGUAGAUCUUAUCGGACACUCAUAGCCAUGAGAUCUACGGACACUCAUGCCAUGAUAAAGUGCUUUUAUCAAUUUCUUGCCGCUUAAACCUAAAUUUCGAUGUCUCUACCGUAUGUUAGCUCUAAUCCUAAAUUUGGUUGCCAUAAUAACUCUAGAGGGCCGCUUAAAUCAAAUUUUCUUCUCAUCCUUAUAUUCUUUUCGGUUCUCUCACGUUAACUCUAACACCCCAUGAAUCAGUGAGAGUUAAAGGGUGAAUUGAUAAGUGUUUGCUGUUUUAGAUCGUUAAAUUGAAGGAAAGUAAAGUAUUCAAGAGCAAGGAUGCAAACGGGUUACCUUGUUGUGGAAUGAGCGAUUGAGUUUGGAGCUAGCUCGAAGUGGUAAGCUGAGAAAGGCUAACGGCGUGGAGCUAUGGACACAAUGUGAUACAUAAAUUGUUGUCCUUAUAUAUAUAUAUAUGUAUAUACAUCAUGGGCUGUUUUGGGGUAUCUUCUUGUGGGAACUAAAUCAUGGUGUGCUUUGUGUAUUUUUAAACUAUGGUAUGACUUUUGAAUGUAUACAGCAUGCAUACUAAAAUCUCUUUUGUUGCCGAAUCUAAUUGUAUCAGUAGCAAUCGUGCCAUAUAGGGCUUUCUAUUGUGUGUACUUGUGUAAUAUUAAUAAAUUUUCAAAUGAUACCUACAAGGCUAGCAUGGACGGUAAUUAAUUUUAUUUUAA